GUUUUUUUUUUUUUUUUUUUUUUUUUCUCUUU
rnacentral:ribozyme from 1 species